UUUAUGUGUGUGGAUGUUUUG
rnacentral:piRNA from 1 species